GACGAACGCUGGCGGCGUGCCUAAUACAUGCAAGUUGAGCGCUGAAGGUUGGUACUUGUGCCAACUGGAUGAGCAGCGAACGGGUGAGUAACGCGUGGGGAAUCUGCCUUUGAGCGGGGGACAACAUUGGGAAACGAAUGCUAAUACCGCAUAAAAACUUUAAACACAAGUUUUAAGUUUGAAAGAUGCAAUUGCAUCACUCAAAGAUGAUCCGACGUUGCAUUAGCUAGUUGGUGAGGUAAAGGCCCACCAAGGCGAUGAUACAUAGACUGUCUGAGAGGAGGAUCAGCCAAACUGGAACUGAGACACGGUCCAGACUCCUACGGGAGGCAGAAGUGGGGAAUAGUGGACAAUGGGCGCAAGCCUGAUCCAGCCAUACCGCGUGGGUGAAGAAGGCCUUCGGGUUGUAAAGCCCUUUUGGUGGGAAAGAAGAGCAGCAGGUUAAUACCCCGCUGUUCUGACGGUACCCAAAGAAUAAGCACCGGCUAACUUCGUG
rnacentral:rRNA from 1 species